rnacentral:rRNA from 1 species
CCUACGGGUGGCAGCAGUGAGGAAUAUUGGUCAAUGGGCGGAAGCCUGAACCAGCCAAGUAGCGUGCGGGAUGAAGGCCCUACGGGUCGUAAACCGCUUUUGCACGGGGAUAACACCCUCCACUUGUGGAGGUCUGCAGGUCACGUGCGAAUAAGGGCCGGCGAAAUCCGUGCCCGCAGCCGCGGUAAUACGGAAGGCUCGAGCGGUAUCCGGAUUCAUUGGGCUUAAAGGGAGCGUAGGCGGGCGUUCAAGUCAGCGGUAAAAUCGCGGGGCUCAACCGCGCCCCGCAGUUGAAACUGGACGCGUUGAGUUCACAACAGGCAGGCGGAAUUCGUGGUGUAGCGGUGAAAUGCAUAGAUAUCACGAGGAACCCCGAUUGCGAAGGCAGCCUGCCGGGGUGCGACUGACGCUGAGGCUCGAAGGUGCGGGUAUCAAACAGGAUUAGAUACCCUAGUAGUC